rnacentral:rRNA from 1 species
UACGAAGGGGGCUAGCGUUGUUCGGCCUUACUGGGCGUAAAGCGCACGUCGGCGGACUGUCAAGUCAGGGGUGAAAUCCCGGGGCUCAACCUCGGAACUGCCUCUGAUACUGUCAGUCUAGAGUCCGGAAGAGGUGGGUGGAAUUCCUAGUGUAGAGGUGAAAUUCGCAGAUAUUAGGAAGAACACCGGUGGCGAAGGCGGCCCACUGGUCCGGAACUGACGCUGAGGUGCGAAAGCGUGGGGAGCAAACAGG